CCAAGAAGUUUAAGUUUGAUAAGAGAUGGCUGGAUAAUGAAGAGCUGCGGCAAGUUAUCCUUGAGGGCUGGAAGUCUCCUGAUCUUCCUCCCAAUGCGACUAUCAUGGAACAUAUUUCAAGUUGCAGGAAAGCUUUGAGUGAAUGGAGGAGGCAAAAUAAUGUCAAUUCGGCAAAACUAGUAGAGGACCUUAAAGAGAAAGUGGAAGGUUUGUAUGCCGAUGACAGUGCCACGACUGGUGAGAUUGCAGCAGCCCUGAAGGAACUCUCGGAGGCCCUUAGAUCAGAAGAAAUGUUCUGGAAACAGAAGAGUCGGGUGUUUUGGCUGAGAGAAGGAGACAGGAAUACAAAAUUCUUUCAUGCCUUGACGAAGCAACGAAGAGCAAGGAAUAAGAUCACGCAGC
rnacentral:lncRNA from 1 species